CCGGCGCACGGGUGAGUAACGCGUAUGCAACUUGCCUAUCAGGAGGGGAUAACCCGGCGAAAGUCGGACUAAUACCGCAUGAAGCAGGGGCCCCGCAUGGGGAUAUUUGCUAAAGAUUCAUCGCUGAUAGAUAGGCAUGCGUUCCAUUAGGCAGUUGGCGGGGUAACGGCCCACCAAACCGACGAUGGAUAGGGGUUCUGAGAGGAAGGUCCCCCACAUUGGACUGAGACACGGCCAA
rnacentral:rRNA from 1 species